rnacentral:rRNA from 1 species
GAUGAACGCUGGCGGCGUGCCUAAUACAUGCAAGUCGAGCGAACAGAUGAGGAGCUUGCUCCUCUGACGUUAGCGGCGGACGGGUGAGUAACACGUGGAUAACCUACCUAUAAGACUGGGAUAACUUCGGGAAACCGGAGCUAAUACCGGAUAAUAUAUUGAACCGCAUGGUUCAAUAGUGAAAGACGGUUUUGCUGUCACUUAUAGAUGGAUCCGCGCCGCAUUAGCUAGUUGGUAAGGUAACGGCUUACCAAGGCAACGAUGCGUAGCCGACCUGAGAGGGUGAUCGGCCACACUGGAACUGAGACACGGUCCAGACUCCUACGGGAGGCAGCAGUAGGGAAUCUUCCGCAACGGGCGAAAGCCUGACGGAGCAACGCCGCGUGAGUGAUGAAGGUCUUCGGAUCGUAAAGCUCUGUUAUUAGGGAAGAACAAAUGUGUAAGUAACUAUGCACGUCUUGACGGUACCUAAUCAGAAAGCCACGGCUAACUACGUG